UUUUGCAGAAUCUUCACUUUGAUCUCCGCGCACACUGGUUCACACACAAUAACAUUCAGGGGACUGUAUUCUAUCAAUUUAUUUCAUUGGAAAGAUUUUCUAUUUACAACGCGAUUUUAGACUUCCUCGUCUCGCUACGAUCUGAUCACAACUGAAUUUACAUAUUAGCCUUAAUCAAUAAUAGUAUUAAAUUACAAAGAAUCACUGUGACGUAUUUUAAGCAAUACUAUAUACAUAUAUUUACAUUAAGUAGCAGAAGCAACUGCUGGGAACUUGUUUGGCAAAUAAAUUACAAGCCACAUGCAUAUAAAGCAUAAGCGUAGAACAUGUGGUGUGGUUAACUACAUCAUAGAUGUGCCCUGCAUGUAGUGAGCAUUUCAACUUGAAAUUUAUGUUAAUCG